UCUCCCUCAUGUCCUGUGUCCAUCACUCCCUUCCUCGUUCACGCAGGUAGUCUCUUUCAUUCUUCACACAUCCACUGUCCACUCUCCCUCACUCCUUCACACUCUCUCUGGCCACUAGUCCUCUCACUCUCAUCCACAAUCCCAAUUACCACAAUCCCUCCGUAUGUCCACUUCCCUUUACUGUCUCUGCAAAAUCUCCCUCCCUCUCACUCAAUCCGUCUGUCCAAUCCCUCUUCCUCACUCUCUCUGUCCAAUUUCCCUCAGUCCUUCUGUCCACACUCCCUUGGUCUGUUUGUGCAUUCUGUUUCACCUUCUCCAUUGAUUGCCCCUCAUUACAUUCAUUUUCCCCCUUACACCCUUCUCUCUAUGCUAUCCUUACUCUCUCCGUCCACUCUUCCUGACUAUCUCUUUAAUCCACCUUUCUCUCUAAUCACUCUUGCUGUUGUGAAGUUAUCAGUCUCUUUCUUUCACUUUCUAGCACAUCAUCCUGUGUCCAGCUCUUCUCCUUGUAAAACACUCGACUCUUUGACAUUAAAAAUUCUUUUCAUGUCCACGCUUUUAUCGACAGUGCUGGCUUGUGGAUUUUCAUCAGUGUUGCCAUGAUGUUGUACUUAGUGCGUCGAGCUCACCAGGAACUGAAUAAGACCAUCCAGGCCCAUGAUGCCAAGCAGCCUGAGGAUGAAGCUGUUCCAGACAAUGACAAGGAAACGCACAGUACCAAAAGAACCAACAUUCCACCUGAUAUGGACUUUGUGUGACCAACAAACUUGAACGUGUUGAGCUGAAGCAUGAAGGCAGAUGACCACUGGGUGUGGAAAGGGGAUAGGAGAAGUCCGAGGUAGCAUACAUCCCCAUAGUUAACAUGUUCGAUUACUGACUGGACCUGGCACAGAUAUUGGAGAGUCCAGUUAUGAAGGUGGGGAGUGGAGAAGGCCUGUGGGUAUGCCCAAUAUGUUGGUGCUUCCCAAACCUUGAAAUGAUAGCUUCUGGAUUGCUGUUGCAGAAGAUGGCCAAAGUUUAUCGCACUUUCCCUGAAAUGCCGACAUAUUGCUGGUCUUGUCGGCUGGGAUUUGCACCCAGUAUUGGGAGUGGUCAGUGUUAUGGCUGGUUCUAGAGUCUGUACUGGCUUUGGCCAUUGGGGUGUUGCCUGCUGGAGCAGGAGAAGCUCUGCUGACACUGUUAUUGAAUUCAUUGGGGGAUAGGGAAGUGCACACCCAAUGCUAUCAGGCCAGACAUGCCUGGCUCAGCUUGUCAGUGCCUUACUCUUAGCUGUGAGUACUGGAGCUAAAUUUGGGUGGUGGGCUUCAGAUGUUUGGGAGAACCUAUUGAAGGUGCCUGGCUGGUUUCAUCUGGAUUUAAAUCCAAAGCACGAGAACUGCCUUAAUGCUGCUCUCAAGUGGCAAUCUUGAUGAGAUGAUCAAUCGACUGAUGUGGACAAUAGAAGACAGUUCAUGAGGGAUAGCUGCUCUUGUACCUAACUCAGAUAUGGGGCCUAUUAUGUGGGACAGUGGAAAGGGAGCUUUACUCUCUCCCUAAGCACUCCAGUCUGGGCCAUGCAGAACUGGUUUCUAAGCACUUCUACCCAUUCACUUAUCUAGUCCAGAUCUGUUUUCUCAAUAUUCCAAUGCAGAUCUCUUUAUAUAUUUUUUAAAAAUCUCCCUCUCAUUUGCUGAUGACCUAAUUUCUAACAUGUUGAAGAAUAACUUCUCAUACACUGCAGUGGAAAUUAACUAUUAAAUUAAAAUAUCUGCAGUCUGUUGUUGAAACAACCAGUAAUGAAGGUUUAAUUUACAGUAAUGAAGCACAGGAUCGUUAUAGAGCUUGCAAUGGGGUUAAUGCCUGAAACCAUUUCUAGACUCUGCCAUCGAUUGGGAGAUGUUGUUUGGAGCAUUUAUCCUACGCUUCCAUAAAUCUGGUUAAAAACUUAGCAGAAAUAUUGCUGCUGUGAAAGUGCCUGACAUCUUUCUGCUGAUAUUGAUCAUGAGAUUGAUCAUGAUGCUAGCAAAUUAAAUAAAUAUGUUUUUUAA